AGUCCGAUGGUGUAACGGCAGCACAACAGAUUUUGGUUCUGUUUGUCCUGGUUCGAAUCCAGGUCGGACUA
rfam:Bacteroidetes bacterium 46-16 SCNpilot_cont_1000_p_scaffold_2524, whole genome shotgun sequence.